GGAUUCCCUUAGUAGCGGCGAGCGAAGCGGGAUGAGACCGAGAUGAAAAUCCCUUCGGGGAGUUGUAAUCUGAUUUAUGUUGAGUGUUCAGUGAAUGUAAGUCACAUGGAAUUGUGUACCGUGGAGGGUGAGAGUCCCGUCCAGCAUUCACAGGAAUUUCUCGUACGACAUAAAUUCAACCGAGUCGGGUAGCUUGAGAUCGCUGCUCUAAUAGGUGGUAAACUUCAUCUAAGUCUAAAUACUGGUGGGAGACCGAUAGCGAACAAGUACCGUGAGGGAAAGAUGGAAAGCACUUUGAAAAGAGGGUGAAAAGUACCUGAAACCGCCACGGGGGAAGCGUAUUGUAUCAGUGUGGUGCGGCGUCUGUUCAGCAAAUUUCGAUUUGUGUAUUCAGCGCUAGCUGUGUUGGAAUGGCUGUUGAACUAUAGAUAAUGCACGGUUUGAUGGUGAGGGCUCCCUUCGGGUGAGGAUUUCAGCAAAAUGAUGCGAUUCGACCCGUCUUGAAACACGGACCAAGGAGUUUAGCAUUACUGCGAGUCGAAGAGUGAUAAAACUCAGAGGCGAAGUGAAAGCGAACAUUUGGAAACCUUAACAGGUUGAGGAGGUGUUGCGUCAUUGACAAAACAUCCUACCUAGAGCAGUAAUGCUGAGACCCGAAAGAUGGUGAACUAUGCCGGAGUAGGGCAAAGCCAGAGGAAACUCUGGUGGAGGCUCGUAGCGAUGCUGACGUGCAAAUCGCUCGUCGAACUUGGGUAUAGGGGCGAAAGACUAAUCGAACCAUCUAGUAGCUGGUUCCCUCCGAAGUUUCUCUCAGGAUAGCGGGCCGACAGUGGGUUGUUUUGUGUGGUAAAGCGAAUGAUUAGCGUAUUUGGGGACGUAAUAUCUUCGGUCGAUUCUCAAACUUUAAAUACGCAAGAUAGAGGUGGUUGCUUAAUUGAACCUCUCUACUGAAAACGUCGGCCCUGUGGGCCACUUUUGGUAAGCAGAACUGGCGAUAUGGGAUGAACCAUAAGUUUGGUUAAGGCGUCAAAAUAUCCGCUUAAAGAUCCCACAAAAGGUGUUGGUUCAUCUAGACAGCAGGACGGUGGCCAUGGAAGUCGGAAUCCGCUAAGGCUGCCGAAUGAACUAGCCCUGAAAAUGGAUGACGCUUAAGCGGAUUGCCGACACCAGACCGUUUUGAUAAGAAGCGACCAAAAUGAGUAGGAGGGCGUGGCGGUUUUGUUGAGAAGGAUGAGACGCAAGUCUGUCUGAAACGGCCGCUAGUGCAGAUCUUGGUGGUAGUAGCAAAUAUUCAAGCGAGAUCCUUGAAGGGCGAAGCGGGGAAGGGUUCCACGCGAACAUUGAUUGGGCGUGGGUGAGUCGUUCCUAAGCCGGGUGGUAAUCGUUCUUACAACCGGCGAAGGGGAAGCGGGUUAAAAUUCCCGCACACGGAUGUGAAGGCGGGGACCCAAUUUGAGGUGAAAACGUUAGCGAGGGCCCUGGGCAAAGUUGUCUUUUCUGUUUAACCUGUGAGAUGCUCUCUGUGGAAUCCGAUUAUCGGGAGAAACAGGCGCUUAUGGGAAGAGCGUCAGGGCGUCCCCGGCGUCCAGUACGCCACCGAUACCCCUUGAAAAUCCAUCUGCAAUAAAUUCUCGCGCCGUGGCGUACCGAUCACCGCAUCAGGUCCCCAAGGUGAACAGCCUCUGCUCAAUAUGAACAAUGCAUGUAAGGGAACUCGGCAAUAUACCCGUAUCUCUGGGAAAAGGGUUGGCUCUCGUGUGGUGAGGGAGAUUACUGAGGAACUGUGAGAUGCUGAACGGGUGUCCGGCGGAGGUAACUGGUGCAACACGGGUUUGGGCUCUUCUUGAUCGCAUUGCGAUGGCCGAGGUCGGUGUAGACGCAAUGUGAUUUCUGCUCAGUGCUCUGAAUGUCAAAGUGAAGAGAUUCAAACAAGCGCGGGUAAACAGCGGGAGUAACUAUGACUCUCUUAAGGUAGCCAAAUGCCUCGUCAUCUAAUUAGUGACGCGCAUGAAUGGAUUAACGAGAUUCCUACUGUCCCUAUCUGCUUCUAGCGAAACCACAGCCGAGGGAACGGGCUCGGCGAAAUCGGCGGGGAAAGAAGACCCUGUUGAGCUUGACUCUAUUCUAAUUUUGUGACGCAAGUUAGGAGGUGUAGCAUAGGUGGGAGACUUCAGACGCCAAUGAAAUACCACUACUCUUAAUCUUGUUUUACUUAUGGCAUUAGACUGCACGAUCUUUAAGGUCUAUUUUAGCAUCAACUUGGAUUAUGGUAUAUGCUCGUCAGAGUAAUGUCCCCUUGGAGCAGCGUGCCUGACAUAUUUAGGAGGGGAGUUUGGCUGGGGCGGCACAUCUUCUACAAGACAACGAAGGUGUCCAAAGAUAAGCUCAGUGAGAACAGAAAUCUCACGUAGCGCAAAAGGGUAAAAGCUUGUUUGAUUUCGAUUUUCAGUGUGAGUUGAAAACGCGAAAGCGUGGCCUAUCGAUCCUUUCACAAUUCGAGGUUUGAAGCGAGAGGUGUCAGAAAAGUUACCACAGGGAUAACUGGCUUGUGGCGGCCAAGCGU
rnacentral:rRNA from 1 species